rfam:TPA: Bos taurus chromosome X, whole genome shotgun sequence.
GAAUGUGCAGUUGGUCUGGCUGAGAUAUCUGUCACCAUAUUGAUCCCCAGAGGUGAUUUGAAUGAUCAGACAGGUGAAGCAGGUUGCCUAUCUCUCUUUUUAUUGCCUUGUGUAUAUAAACUCUCAAAGCUUCCACUGUUGAAAGUGGAUGGCCACCUCUGACAGAGGGGAGGUCAUUGUCUGGUCAGGGGUAGAAGAAUUGAGGUAUAUAGCUAAGGGUUUAUUUCCCUUCUCCAAUCUCUACACAAGCUCUCAAGUUCAAUUGCCUGUGACUGCUAUUUACUCUACAUUCAAUCACUCAUUCUCUCUGUAGCCUGAGGUACUGUUAGA